UACGUAGGGCGCAAGCGUUAUCCGGAAUUAUUGGGCGUAAAGAGCUCGUAGGCGGUUUGUCGCGUCUGCCGUGAAAGUCCGGGGGCUCAACUCCGGAUCUGCGGUGGGUACGGGCAGACUAGAGUGAUGUAGGGGAGACUGGAAAUUCCUGGUGUAGCGGUGAAAUGCGCAGAUAUCAGGAGGAACACCGAUGGCGAAGGCAGGUCUCUGGGCAUUAACUGACGCUGAGGAGCGAAAGCAUGGGGAGCGAACAGG
rnacentral:rRNA from 1 species